AGUCUCCUUUAGUAAGCAGAUGUCAGGGCACAUUAAAGAAGACCUAAUCUGUUUCUCAGAGCAUCAGAAAGGAUGUUAAUGAAAGGUACAGCAUAGAGAGCAGCAAUUAUCCACAUUCUCAUUAAAGCAUGAAGUACAUUUGUUUCUGGGCAAAGGAGAAGACAGCAUCUCCUUACUUUUUCAGCAGUGCACUGUGCACAAAAUAAACAUUAAAAUUCUCCUGUCACAUAAAGGUCAGGCCUAGCUUAAGGAGAAUAAACCACUGCUAUAAGGAAACAAAUUAUGGCAUAAUAUCAAAGGCAUUGCUUUAAUCAUACUGCAAUUUCUGUAAUUGAAAGCAUUUUAUUAUAAUUUAGUUCAUUAUGAGUAUACAAAACAGGAAUGCAAUUUUUUAAAUUGGUUUUUCCUUCCUGUAAUUUGAAUGUAUACUUCAGAUUCACACAAACAUCAAUCAGAAAAUGUGCAGUGUCUCUUAUAAUCCCCCAAAGUAUUACUCUGCACACUUUGUUCAAUUUAAUUUGCCACCUGAGUAAUUGGAAUGGAGGUUAUACAUCAACUAAAUGACUCAGAAAAAUGUGUAUAGUGCCUUUUAUGACCCUGUAAAAGCAACAAUUUUACAUGACUCCAAAGUGAAUUAUGUUUCAAGUCGUGCAGGCUUUCAAGCAAGGAAAGAAGCUUGCAUUCAGGUAUCCACAGGCAAAGAGAAAUGCCACUAUAAUUCAUUGUCUGAGCAUUUUCUGAAAAUGUUUUGUGUUAAAGAUGCCACAAGCCAGACACUCAGUUUUAUGUUUAUAUGUGAAAACAACCUGACAACGCCUCAUUUUCUUUAUUUUUGCACUCAGUCGGGCUAAUCUGAUGUCCACUUUAAUCUGGCUACACUUUUAUAAAGGUACACAAAGUAACAUGAAAAUCAGUGAUGUGAAAAAUUAUUUGCAACCCAGCAGAUUUUCUGCACACAAUGAAUUUAUUCAGAUCAUAUUGUUGGUUGUAUCACAUGUUCAGAAGUAUCUGAAAGUAGCAAAAUACAUCACACUGUAGUAGUUCUUUUAUCUUAGUUUUCAAGGUAAUUGAAUAUGCAAUGUUCAUUAGUGAAAAGGUUUUUUUACCUCAUUAUACACUUAGCCCAAUUAAAGGGGCAAGUUAGGUUCAGGUUAUUUAAAAACUAGAUUUGAUUUAUGCCAGUCUUACACAAUAUGAAUCAGAUUAACUUUGACCUUUACCCUCAGAAAGAUCCCAUUGCCACAGGAGUUUCAAAAGCCCAUCAGUUCCUUAUUAAAAAUAAUCCCUAAAACCUCUGCAAACUGAUUGAUAUGUACUGCUCUGGGAAGGUUAAAAACAAUUCCUAUGACUUUGUGACUCCAUCAAACAACUGUCAGAACCAUUGUGUCCAUAUUUUCAGAUAGAAAACAAUGUUCUGUGAAGUAACCAUUCAGCCAUAAUCUUUGCCAGAGUUGCACAGAGUCCUAAUAAAAUAUCUGAUAUCUGCAGACCCCUCUUACUUUGGCUUAGAGGGUUUAUAAACUGAUGAACACAAACACACAUGCCCAAAAUAGGACAUCAGAUAAAAAUAGUAGAAACCAGAUCAGAACAUAAGUACUUUUCAGAAACUGGUCUCACAUGUACAGGUGUGGUCAAGAAGUUUGAAGUAGUUACAGUAUCUCUGGAUAAAUGAGUCCAAAGUUACUGCUCUGUUAUAAGUGAUGGAAAGCCGUCCCUAUGUUUCACAAUAAAAAACCCAUAACAGCAAUCAAGCAAUGAUGUCACAAUAUGAAACAGCACUGGUCUAUUAGAACCUAAUAGUCUUGCAGAGCCAGUGGCGAUUGUCGAUCGAGAACAUCUGUCUAGGCACAACUUACUAAAAAGUUUGUAGUAAAUAACCAAAAAGGCUCAGCCCACAAGCCUUCUUUCUAAAAGCCCGCCCCCAAUUUCCUCCAGUUAUUUCCACUCAUGUAUUCGGCAAAUAUUUAAAACAACUAUGGCAAGACAGGGAGAGAGAAAAAAAUAUAGAAUUGUGGCUAUCAACUUAAGACCUCAGUACCUCAAGCUUAAUGACUAUUGCAUCACUGCAUGUCAUAACAACAGCAAAUAACAUUUAGAGAAGCAUUGUAGUCUAUAUAUAUUGUAGUAGGGUGAAUGCUGAGGCAAGGCAAAUCCAAAAUAAUUGGGGUGCCUACCAGAUAAAAUCCCAUUUAAUUCAAACAAAAACAAAACCUUAAAUGAAAAUAUGCACUCAAUGGGGCUAUAUUGACAAGCCAGUUGCUCAUUAAAUUGGUCACUUGGCAUUCACAAAGACCCUCUCGAAUGAAGUUAGGUCCAAAUGAGACACCACCUUCCAGAAGGGUCUCUCUUUUAUACCUGAUGGACAGGAAGGAGCGGGACUUCUUUUACUCCAUUGCACUCAAUGGGUAACUUGUUAAGGCCGUGGAAAAAAGGUGACAAAACUGCUAGCGUUAGUGCCCCUUCUUGCUCCAUGUCUGUACCACAGUUUUUAGCUGAGCCUGUAAAAUGAUCCUCAAGUAUGGCAUGUUUGUAAUUUCCAAUUAGACAGUUAUUAAGGGCAGAAUGGUGGCUCUCAGGCUAAGGAUAUGUGCUACUAUCCAUAAAGUUGGCAGUUCAAGUCCCAUUACUGCCAGAAGGGAUUCUAUUCUGUUGGGUUCUCGAACAAGGCCCUUUACCUGAAAAUUGCUCCAGGAGUGCUGUAUAGUGGCUGACCCCAUGCUCUGACCCCCAAAAGUCAUGUGAAAAGAUAAUUUCCCCUCAAGUAUUAAUGUAGUUUAUCAGAUCCAAAUAAUGUUAACUUUUUUUUUAAUUUAGACAUGCAGUGACGCAUUGCAUGCUGUGCAGCCUUGUGUGUGGUUCUUCUAAAGUCAGUUUGUAAGUGUCAUUAUUUGUUAAGUGGAGGUGCCUUUGGUCUGAUUAUUUUCGUAGGAUACUUCUUACCCCUAAAUGUGGGUAGUGGCAUCCUUUACAUCUUCUACAACUCUGAUAGUCAGCAAGCUAAUUAAAAGGGCAGGCUCUGUUAUGGGACACACUGCGGAUGCCCUGGAGGACAUAGCAAAGGAGAGAAAGAAAACUGAGUGCCAUGUGCUCUGACACACCAACACUGAGGACCUUC